rnacentral:tRNA from 1 species
GCGCCUGUAGCUCAGGGGUAGAGCACUUCCUUGCCAAGGAAGGGGCCGUGAGUUCGAAUCUCAUCAGGCUCUCCA